CCAAAGCAUCAAACUCCUUUCUCAUGGCAUCCUGCCAUGCUAGAACAGAUGCAGCUUGAGAGUAAUAUAGAGGCUCAGAUUCCAAAGAGGAGGAAUAUGAACCAGAAAAGGCAGGUAGUUGACAGACAUAAUCCUUAAGAUAAGAGGGAGGAUUAUGCUGUCUUUGAGACUUUCUGGGAGCAGGAACAGAAGAAGAAGAAGCUAGAACAAGAGGGGAGAUAUCAGGAUUGAAAGAGGGAGUGAAGGUAGAGUCAGUAGAGUCUGGAACAGUAUAAGGAGGUACUUGCACAGAUGUAGAAGAAAGAGGAGAGGAGAUGGGAAUGGGUGAAUCAGAAUCAUCAUCAUAUUCUAC
rnacentral:lncRNA from 1 species